GGGCAUAGGUGGUAAGGUCUGCAAAGCAACAAAAGGGGGAGUUCUGAAUAGUCUGGUGUUCAAUCCUUGUGGUUGGGUAGAAGGAUCUCUUUGGGGGGUCCUAAAUGCCUAGUCUAACUACUGAUUUAUAAAACCUUAAUGUGAAGAAGCAGCUUACGACGGGGAAGGUUAUCCCGAAGACAAUCAAGAUGAAGUUUUAGAACCGUGGUUCACUUGAAAAUUUAGACUAGUAGUUUGUUUUUGUGUUCUCUCUUCUUUUACCUUUUGGUUGACAAUAUUUGUAAACCUCUAGUAGAACUCAAAUCAGUUAUCCAUGUUAUAACUCCGCUUGUAUGUGUAUAUUAACGUAUUGUGGUUAUCUAUUUUGUUUGAGUUGUACUUUA